rnacentral:rRNA from 1 species
AAGUCGAGCGAGAAGUUACUCAAUGAAUCUUCGGAAGAAUUAAGUAAUGGAAAGCGGCGGACGGGUGAGUAACGCGUGGGCAACCUGCCUUUCACAGAGGGAUAGCCAAAGGAAACUUUGAUUAAAACCUCAUAAAGCCGGAAUAGUGCAUAAUAUACCGGCCAAAGAUUUAUCGGUGAAAGAUGGGCCCGCGUCUGAUUAGCUAGUUGGUGGGGUAACGGCUCACCAAGGCAACGAUCAGUAGCCGACCUGAGAGGGUGAUCGGCCACAUUGGAACUGAGACACGGUCCAAACUCCUACGGGAGGCAGCAGUGGGGAAUAUUGCACAAUGGGCGCAAGCCUGAUGCAGCAACGCCGCGUGAACGAAGAAGGCCUUCGGGUCGUAAAGUUCUGUCCAUAGGGAAGAAACAAAUGACGGUACCUAUGGAGGAAGCCCCGGCUAAAUACGUGCCAGCAGCCGCGGUAAUACGUAUGGGGCAAGCGUUAUCCGGAAUUAUUGGGCGUAAAGAGUGCGUAGGUGGUGGCUUAAGCGUAGGGUUUAAGGCAAUGGCUUAACUAUUGCUCGCCUUGCGAACUGGGUCACUUGAGUACAGGAGAGGAAAGCGGAAUUCCUAGUGUAGCGGUGAAAUGCAUAGAUAUUA